rnacentral:rRNA from 1 species
CUCCGCCGGCGACCGGCGCACGGGUGAGUAACACGUAUGCAACCUGCCCCUGUCAGGGGGACAACCCGCCGAAAGGCGGGCUAAACCCGCGUACAUGCCACCGGGGCAUCCUCCGGUGGCCAAAGGAGCGAUCCGGUGGCGGAUGGGCAUGCGGCGCAUUAGCUAGACGGCGGGGUGACGGCCCACCGUGGCGACGAUGCGUAGGGGUUCUGAGAGGAAGGCCCCCCACACUGGGACUGAGACACGGCCCAGACUCCUACGGGAGGCAGCAG